AUUUCAAUACUUCUAUGCGGUAAUACAAUUCAAUUAAAUCGAAAGAAGAAAACCCCCUGAUUUUAAUGCCACGUAUGCAUUGGAAAGUUUCUGUCUAGGUUUCGUAAAACGCAUUUUUUCAUCAGUGGUUGACGUGAUCUAAAUCAUUGUGCAAACAUGCGUACUGGCCAUGCAUUAGCCUGCUUGAUACACUGCUUCAUAUUCUCGCUACCAACUUUAUAUAAACUGAUACAUAAACUAGAACAUAACGGGAGAGCGAACUACAACAAGGAAGGAAUGUUUUACAUCAUCAGCGUUAGUCUGUCGAUAAUCGAGGCUUCAGGCGUGUUUGGCGGUUUUCCUGUAUAUGACUUUUCUGGAUUUGAUGACAAAAUACCCAAUCUCAUUAUAACCGAGGUUGUUUUGUGUGUUCCAACAGCCGCUCAUAUUUUGUAUAUUCUAUGUGGUGAUUAUUAUCCGACAUGGUGUGAGCAAGUCGGUUACGAGUGCGCCAAACAUGUCAUGAUGGUAAUUUUGAAUAGGAUAUUACACGCUGCUAUAGGUUCUAUAAGACUGGCAUGAACAAUAUUUGGUCGGAGUUUCAGUGACCUAGAUAUUCUCUAAACCUUUAACAUGAAGAACUGUUAAAUUUACCGUAUUAUCCUGAAUAAAAGAUGAAAAAACA